rnacentral:lncRNA from 1 species
ACCAGCUGGCGUCACUCGCAGGCUCCAGACGCCGCCAUUUCGCCAAGCCGAGGUCUCUUGGUUGCGGCACUGCUUCUGGCUCGGUGCCUGUAUUUUCUCGGUGCCUACAGCGCCCAGGUCGCCGAUCUGAGGGCUUCGGAGUACCGGCCGGGCGCGGUGGCUCACGCCUGUAAUCCCAGCACUUUGGGAGGCCGAGGCGGGCGGAUCAGGAGGUCAGGAGAUCGAGACCAUCCUGGCUAACACGGGCUUUGACUCCUGAGUCUAAAAAGGUCACUAACUCCCGCUAAAUUGAGAGCAAUUGAAGCCUCAUCUUCAGAUCUAGGAGAAGAUGAAAAUCAGAAUAAGCUGCAGUCAUGAGACAUGGCGCCAGAAAUUAAGACUAUUCAAACCCUCUAGUCCCAGGGACUAUUGAAGAAGAAGUGGGUGUGUAAGCUUAUAAGGUCUAGAUCUGUCACCCAGGCUGGAGUACAGUGGCAUAGUCCUAGCUCACUGCAACCUCCACCUCCCAGGCUCAAGUGAUCCUACCACCUCAGCCUCCUAAGAAGCUGGGACUAUAGAUGUGCACCAACACGCAUGGCUAAUUUUUGUAUUUUUUGUAGACACCGUGUUUCGCCAUGUUGCCCAGGCUGGUCUCAAACUCCUGAGCUCAAGCAGUCUGCCUGCCUAGACCGCCCAAAGUGCUGAGUUUACAGGUGCGAGCCACCACAGCCAGCCUAUAAAGUAAACGUGAAUAUCUAAGGAACACUGAUGCAAGACCAGCAUGUGGGACCCCAUGUAAGAUUAACAAUGUUUUCAUGGAUCAUUAACCCAUUCUUAUUAAAAAAA